GUCCUCCACCACCCUACUCACAGGUCCUUUCCAGCCCAUCCUGUGCUCACCACCUGCUUACUUGCUGCACUGAGACCCAAGGAGAGCACCGCUGUCCUACCAUGUACUGCCAGAGAGCUGGACAGAGUCAUUGAUUAGGAGGACCUUUGAGAGGCCCUCAUGCCCAACCCAGUGGUCCUUAAGCUUCAGGAGAGAAAGCCUGUCACAAUCAACCAGAAUAAUGGAACCCAUUAAUUCAACAGACAUUAUCUAUCCAUUAUGUAUGUAUGUAUGUAUGUAUGUUUG
rnacentral:lncRNA from 10 species